rnacentral:misc_RNA from 1 species
UCUCCGUUGGUGAACCAGCGGAGGGAUCAUUACCGAGUUAUCAACUCCCAAACCCCUGUGAACAUACCCGAACGUUGCCUCGGCGGGACCGCCCCGGCGCCCACUGCGGCCCGGAACCAGGCGCCCGCCGGAGGACCCAAACCCUUGUUUAAACCAUAGUGGCAUCCUCUGAGUCUCACAAGAAAAAUGAAUCAAAACUUUCAACAACGGAUCUCAUGGCUCUGGCGUCGAUGAAGAACGCAGC